rnacentral:rRNA from 1 species
AGGAUUAACGCUGGCGGCGUGCCUAACACAUGCAAGUCGAACGAGGUAGCAAUACCUAGUGGCAGACGGGUGAGUAACGCGUGGUCAACCUACCGUUGAGCGGGGGAUAACUAGCCGAAAGGUUAGCUAAUACCGCAUACGUCUAGCACGGCAUCGUGCAAAGAUAAAAGCCGCAAGGCACUCGACGACGGGACCGCGUCCCAUUAGUUAGUUGGUGGGGUAACGGCCUACCAAGACUCCGAUGGGUAGCUGGUUUGAGAGAGCGACCAGCCACACUGGGACUGAGAAACGGCCCAGACUCCUACGGGAGGCAGCAGUGAGGAAUUUUCCGCAAUGGGCGAAAGCCUGACGGAGCGACGCCGCGUGUGGGAAGAAGGCCUUCGGGUCGUAAACCACUGUCGAAGGGGAAGAUACUGACGGUACCCUUGGAGGAAGCCCCGGCUAACUACGUGCCAGCAGCCGC